GCAGCAGGAAACAUAAUUAACAACAAAAACAACAACAAACGAAGCGCACCGAAGCACCGUGGCGGCCAUCAACGGCGCCAACGUGCAUGAAAACAACGUUCUGCCUGAGGUAUGUCUCCUAAAGUUAUUAUACCUCAGAACUAAUACGUGUUAACGAGGAAUACACUCAAAUCGGUUUGAAGCACAGAACGUAAAAACAAACAAACAAACAAACAAAACAGAAAAACAGUAGUCAAAAACGUGUAACUUAUCAUAAUCACCUUCAAUUUCAUCCUGGUUUUCUUUUGCUGUAACUUCAAAAGGCUUUUUCCAGAUUAGUGUCUGGAUGGACAAACAAUGUGCUGGAUUGAUGAGCAGCACGUUUCUCCUUCAAUGAACUGAACCUUUGCUUUCAUUCUUAAGUGGAAUACGGACUGCAGCCCAUCACACCAGUUUAACAUGAAGAUGAGAAGGACGAGGUGAAGCUGAGCUCUGGCCUGAAGAGGUAUUACGUCAAUGUUUGUUAGCAGAGAGAAUGACAUUCUUCUUUAUAUUGUGGCAACCCACGAAUCAGCACCCUGGACAGCGCCUCAAGAGAUCAGCACCAAGGUCUGGGGCACCGACGAGCCAGAGGUCAGGAAGGGGACUGAAGGCCGAACAGCCUGUUGAACCGAGCCCUCAAAAGAGGAAGAACCUAUUUUGCCCUUUUCCCUUUUUUUGUAUGUCAAAAUAAACCGUACCCUUUU